AUUCCUGUCAGGCGCCCCUAUUGUGUCGAGGGGACCUGCGCGAGGCACUAUUUGUGCCAACUGAUGUGCGUGCAUGCGCAUAGGGAUGCACGCCCAGGCAGCCUUAACGCUGAGGCAUGCACCCCACUUACAAGCUGCUACGUGUAGCAAGUCGUGCGGGGCACGGACACUGCCAGGCGUGCACACAUGGAGAGUGCCACGGGUUAAGGCACUUUGUGCUACAGGUGCGAGCUUGCGAGAUUUUAUCCCCCUAUCGCGGGUUUGAGGGCAAAUUGCUCAAAAGCGUAAAAAGGAAUUGAUUUGGUCAUCUAAAAUUAAGUUUGAAAUUGAAAUGGUGAAAUAAGGCAAUUGAAAUUAAAAAGAAAAAUGGGCAAUAAAAUAUGAAUUUUGAAAAAAAGGCAUAUUAAGUAAUUAGAAGAAAAAUCUAAGGAAUUUGGAAAUUAAGUAAGAAAUUAUAAAUUUAUGAAUUAAGAAAAUUUUGACUCAAAUGGGAAAUUUGGUAAAAAUAAUCGUUUUGGAAAAAAUAGAUUUUUGAGCUAGGCUUAGGGUUAGGCUUAGAGUUUUGGUCUAAACCUAGGGCAAUGCUUAGGUCCAGACUAAAUUUAAAAUGAAAUAAAGUAAGUAUGGGGAAAAGGGCAGUUUUAGUCUAAACCUAAGGUAAGGCUUAGGUCUAGGGUAAAUCUAAAUGAAAUAAGAAAGCUUGUAUGGUGUCUAAUAAGAAAAAAUAAACAAAAUUGUCCAGUUAAAUCCAUUUACCCUGUUAUCUAGGAGGAUUUAUCUGUUUCUAUGUAUGUAUGCUUCUGAACACAUAAAUGGGUUUCUGCGAACCCUCGUGGAUGAUGGUUCAACUUGGUUAGACAUUUUACGUUCACUGCUUGUGCAAAUGGAGUGGACGAGGCAAUCGGAGUGGUUGAAUGUUCUGUCAGUAUAUCUGUUUUGUUAUUUGUGUCCCUAUUCACAAUAUUAUUUGGUGUAUUCUACCCUUUUAAGUGCAGGCUUAGGCAGUCGCGCGCGUAGUUACGUAAACAAUAUGACUUAAUUAAACAUUAAUAAUACUGUAAUAUAAUUAUGUUAAAAGACGAGUUAGAGUCUAAGUUUGGGUACAUGAGUCAAUGAUCUAAUUUAAUUUCUCUAUAAGAUUUGAUUUGAUCGGAUCCAUUAUGUUCUAAUGCCUUUGGAGCCAUGAUAUGUUUUGCAUGAUAAUUUUAGUUUUGGUUCCCUAAUAAUAUGAAGUAUGGAGAAAUGAAAUGAAUUAAAUUGAUUUGGUAAGUUAUCUGAAUAUUUCACUAUUGAAUAAGUAUUUGUUUUCAAUGAUGUUUGUAUAAUUUAAUUACUACCUGUCUUUCUGAGUUUAUUGGAACUCACCCCGAUCCAAAUCCCUCAUAGAUGAUGACUUUACAGAUAUGCUUCAUGAGGCUUGUUUGGACCCGUUCUAGGAUGCUUAGUGGGAGAAUUGAAAGACUUUCUCUUUCAUAUUUUGCUUUUGACAUCUAGAUUUUUUGGUAAAUUCAUAACAUUUAUAUGUAGGAUUUGAUAGCCUAGUGCCUCAGUACACUAUGAUUGUAAUUUUUGUAAGAGAUGAAUAUUCAACAUUUUUUAUUUAAAUGUGUUUUUUAGUCUACUAAGUUAGAUGUUUGAUGGUGUCGAAUCCACCAAAAAUAAUAUCCUAUU
rnacentral:lncRNA from 1 species